rnacentral:tRNA from 1 species
AGUAGAAUGGCUGAGGUUUAGGUAAAGGAUUGUAAAUCUUUUAAGGAGUUUUAAAACUCUUCUACUA